rnacentral:rRNA from 1 species
AUAUGUCUUCGGAUAUAGCAGACCGGCGCACGGGUGCGUAACGCGUAUGCAAUCUGCCUUUCACAGAGGGAUAGCCCAGAGAAAUUUGGAUUAAUACCUCAUAGCAUAAUCACAACCGCAUGGUUUGAUUAUUAAAGUCACAACGGUGAAAGAUGAGCAUGCGUCCCAUUAGCUAGUUGGUAAGGUAACGGNUUACCAAGGCUACGAUGGGUAGGGGUCCUGAGAGGGAGAUCCCCCACACUGGUACUGAGACACGGACCAGACUCCUACGGGAGGCAGCAGUGAGGAAUAUUGGUCAAUGGGCGCAAGCCUGAACCAGCCAUGCCGCGUGCAGGAUGACGGUCCUAUGGAUUGUAAACUGCUUUUGCACAGGAAGAAACACUUGCUCGUGAG